GACGAACGCUGGCGGCGUGCUUAACACAUGCAAGUCGAACGGAAAGGCCCUGCUCUUGCGGGGUGCUCGAGUGGCGAACGGGUGAGUAACACGUGAGUAUCCCGCCCCUGACUUUGGGAUAACUUUAGGAAACUGGGGCUAAUAUCGCAUAGGAGCUCCUGCUGCACGGGGGGGGUUGGAAAGUUUCGGCGGUUGGGGAUGGAUUCGCGGCUUAUCAGCUUGAUGGUGGAGUAGUGGCUUACCAAGGCUUUGACGGGUAGCCGGCCUGGGAGGGUGACCGGCCACCUUGGGACUGAGGUACGGCCCAGACUCCUACGGGAGGCAGCAGUGGGGAAUAUUGCACAAUGGGCGGAAGCCUGAUGCAGCAACGCCGCGUGCGGGAUGACGGCCUUCGGGUUGUAAACCGCUUUCGCCUGUGACGAAGCGUGAGUGACGGUAAUGGGUAAAGAAGCACCGGCUAACUACGUG
rnacentral:rRNA from 1 species